rnacentral:rRNA from 1 species
UACGUAGGGGGCAAGCGUUAUCCGGAAUUACUGGGUGUAAAGGGUGAGUAGGCGGCAUGGUAAGCCAGAUGUGAAAGCCUUGGGCUUAACCCGAGGAUUGCAUUUGGAACUAUCAAGCUAGAGUACAGGAGAGGAAAGCGGAAUUCCUAGUGUAGCGGUGAAGUGCGUAGAUAUUAGGAAGAACACCAGUGGCGAAGGCGGCUUUCUGGACUGAAACUGACGCUGAGGCACGAAAGCGUGGGGAGCGAACAGG